CUAACAUAGCAGGCGUAUAAAUAUGCUUGAGCGGAGUUCCCACUUCCUUUUUUCAGGGGAAACAGAAGUUAGGUUGAAAAUACUGUAUCCAUGAAAACCGGAUGUUAGCGUUUUCUGCCGACUUAGCAUAGACAAGGGUCACAGAGGCAUGACCCAGUCUCCUUAGACCUAAGCAGAGGAGAGCACAGAAAAAAACCCACUGGUUAUUUAUAGUGGCUGGAGAGCAGCGAGGUCCUGUCUGGCUGGCCAUUACCUCAGCCUCUGGAUAUCUCAGUCUGCUCCCCUCUUCUCACCACUCCAGCCCUGCCAGACCCUCUGUUGCAGCUUUGUUGAGUUGGAAUGCAAGCACCACCUAGGGGUCGUCACGAGGAACUGCGCCUGAGUCCCAUAUGCUUCAGGACACUCCAUGAGGCCCUGACCAUGCUCUUUUUGUCUCUGCUCCUCUUUUCAUAGCUGCAGUGGUCCUACUGUGGACAAAGCAGCUUUUGUAGACUUGGACCUUAUGUGGAUCAGACAAAGUGCACAGUUGGGUGCCAGACUGAUCCCCUUGUCAUGAAUGGAUCCUAGGACCUACCUGAAGGAGCAAAGCUUGUCAGGCAAGACCUCAGAAUAAAAUGCGACACAUGUACACUUGUGACACCUCCUUCGUUGUUGCCAGUCUCCCUCGCCUCCUAUGAAAAGGACAUGCCAUCACGAGGCCUCUGACAGUGGCCCGAGUUACAGCCCAUAUGACGCAGACGGCUUCAUCAACGACAGGCCCUCCCAGUCCACAGCACCUUAUAAUAUUGCCUGCUGCAGUUGUUCGAGAGAUGUCCAGUUUGCAGCCGAACAUGCAGCAUAGAGAAGACCAGCAAGGGGGCCCUUAUCAGCAUCAUGCAGACAUGCCCUCACUGUGAGUAUUCCUAUGAAUGGAACAGUCAGCCACUUGUUGGCAAGUAUCAGCCCAGCAACCCUCACCUGUCGGUGGCAACAGCUUACACAGGCUCAUCAUUUGUACAAAUACAGAAGUAUCUUUGAUGAGGGGCUGAUCUAUGCUGCUAUGCCCGUCAAUGGGGCUCUGUCAAAGAAUCUCACCUCCAGCCUCACCACUUGCAUGUUCACCAACGGUCGUCGAAGGGGAGAAGAGAAUUAUAAACAUGUAUGGAGCCAGCACAUAGAGACUUGCAAAAUGAUGUGAUGAAGUUCAGACUCACGGACGAGCUUCUCUCAAAGGAGAUAUACCUGGAACUCAGCAUAACAUUUUUACUAGACAUAACUUUUACUUGGGUCUUUUUUAUUAUUUAAUUGAAUGGUAUCAUUCAAUACGGGCAGGGAGAAACCCUGUGUAUUCUGCACCAGGAUCAGGGAACUCCUGUUGUACACGGGACACCACACAGGAAGAUAUGACCACUCUGACAUGUUUGCCAAGGUAGCCUCACUACCACCAGACAAAAUGCCGAUAGGCACAGUAUCUGUAUCGGCUGGGAAUGACAAUGGUGCACAUUGUUAUAUGUGACUCGUUUCAGGAAAGUAGGCAUAUGUCGCGUGUCACUACUUCACAGGAGCGCUAUUUGAACGUAAACAAUGUUUUUAAAAUCAAAAUGCGUUUUGGGGGAAUAAAAUUGUUAAAUUACGAGCCUAGUUGGUUUAGCCAUGGAAAAAGACAGAAACUUUCCCGCUAGCCAUGAUUGACUGAGAUAAUGAGUGGUUUGGACAUGCCGAGAGAUGAGUUCGGAUUGGUCUACCAUGUAGCACGCUUCUGUCUAUAAUAUGAGCUGGUCAGUAUGUGUAGGUAAUCCUUUCCAACGUGGCUUUUUUGAAAGAUAUCACAUAGUAGAACUGCAUAAGUGUUGCUCUCCACUUUCUGGAGGACUGAGUUUUGAAAUCAGUGGAAUUAGAGUAUGAUAGCUAAGGAGAUGGAGAAAAUUCUGCCGUUUGAUUGGAAAUAUGCAGACGGAGUCGAAAAGAGAACACAGAAGGCUCCGGAUUACAUCUUCAAACUAAGAGCAACCAUGGCAUCCCUGACAGAGAAGGAGAAGCGUCCAUCCAUGUAUAUGGGUAAGAGAGUCUAGCUAGCUAAAUUUUCAGAUAUUACACAUUUCUAAUUUUGUCAGAAAGUAAUUUUCAUUUGAAGUUAAAGUGUACUGUUAGCUAGCUAGCUAACGUUAGCUGGCUGGCUAGCUAGCUAAUGUUACGGGUAUGAUCUUUGUGGUAAUUUUAUUCAUAUCUCAGAGCCAUUUGCAUUGCUAGUUAUAGCCUGAUGUUAGCUAGCUAACAAUGAACCUGGUUGGUUUGCUACCUGCAGAUUCAUGCAGGGUAGUAAUGUCAUGAGAUGGUAUUAUGGUUCAUUGUUUAGCUAGCUAGCUACAUGUCUUAACAAAAGACCACUAUGCAAGUAACUAUUUCAAUAGAAUGUUAAUGAUGUCACUGUGACAACUGUCGAUAGACGUAGCUAGUCAAUUCGCUCUGGCUAUCUACUCUGAUUUCAGAGCACUCUCGUCUGAGUGUGCCAGAGCGCAGAAUAACUGAUGAAUUUACGAAUGCUCAACACCCGUUGAACAUGGCCGGUGUCAGUAAAUGUUGGCAAAAAAUGAGUAAUUAAAUUGUUGCCAGCAGCACAGUUAAAGUUACCAACGCUCUGAAUAACAUGAAAACAGCCUAAUCAGCUCUGCUAGGGAGAGUAAAACGGUCAGAGUGAGGUGUUCUCUCAUUUGUGUCUGAAAGUAUCUAGCCAGUUAGCUUGGGUGCUUGACUGCCGUUGUGAGGUCAGAGCUCUCUGAUCAACCCUACUCCUCGGCCAGUGUCCAGUGUGCGAACAACAAUCUGACAAGGCUCUGAAUUUACGAACGCCCAGAGCGCACUCUGGCACUCCAGAUAAAAUGUAAGAACACACCCGUAGUAUAAACUAGCCUUUAGUCUUGAAAUCUUUGGUUGUUUAGUACAUGGCCUCACAUGUGAAUCCUCAAAGAGAUGGGUGGGGCUAAAGCUUAAGAGGGUGAGAAUGAUGCUGAAUGGGUGUAGACAAAGAAGAGCUCUCCAGUAGGUACCAAAACACUGAAGGGCCAUUUUCUCAAAAGUGAGGUUACAAGUUUAUAAACUUACAAAGCAGAAUUACUUUCCCAUUGUUCCUCAACUGUAGUGUAUUAUAUAAAAAUGUUUGUAGCUCUGAGUCUCUACUUUUAUCCAAUGUAAAAAACACAAUUUAAAAUUUUACUACAUAAGACCGAAUCGAGCCGGUCUGUCACAUAUUAGCAGAACACUGUUUAUUCUACAUGGACGUGUUACUACAAUUGAAAGUAAUCAAAACAGUUAUGAAUAUCUACAUACAUUCAGCAAUUGCAUUCUCUUAUUACUCUGUAGGCUGCUGACCUGUUCAAAGUUCAUUUGCUGUCAUUUGAUUGCUGUUUUGUUUCAUAUUGUGUUUGAUUGUUGUGUUGCUGUGAUCAGGGAACCCUUGUGAAUGAAACCCUAAAAUAAAUAAAUAUACACUUUUUUCUGGCAUCUCAC
rnacentral:lncRNA from 1 species